UGAUUCAUUUACUUAUAUGAUUACUUUGAAUGUGAUUUGGAACGACUUCCUAAAUCUCAUUCAUACUCUGGCUAGAGAUUCUUAAUCAUAUCAAAGAGUAUUCUCCCUCAAACGGUUUAAAGGUUAGAGAUCCCUUGUUGCGCAUUCACUUGCCUUCAUGGCUAAGUAGCUUAACCCCAACUAUGCCGUGGACACCCGCGAAUGGAGUGACUUUGACAUAAUCAAAGAUCAAGGACCUAACCACAAGACAACUAUGAUGCCUCAGGUCAAAGGACUACAUUGCAUUAUCCCAACCAUGAGUUCUCAUGUGACAUGAGUAUGAGAACUCUUCGUUGAUCAUGUUCAGUGAACUCAUUCCUUAUUGAGCACCUACGUACUUGUCUUGGUGUCAGUCACACCAAUGACUCGAGACCAGUCACUCUCACUAAGAGAAGACAUAGCACAUACUGAUCUUAACGGACUGUUAAUGCCCAAUUGGCAAUCCUAUGAUCAGGAACGUUUAGGAUAUGUAUACGAAAGAGAAUGGUCUCAUAAAUCUAACUUGUUUAAAUUACAUUCUCCUAAUUACAUAUUCCUUGGACUUAUCGUUUAAGCAUAUAACAUUUAUAUGAGACGGCUUAAAACAAUAAUCUAUGCCCUUGAUAUUAAACUAGAUUAGUUUAACAUGUGAAAUGUUCGUAAAGUAUCAUCAUAUGAUUGGUUUUAGGGCACAUUUCCAACAUAGGGUCGUGAUAACAAAACGGUUCAGUAAGCCACACGCUUUAAGCGUCAUUAUUAAGGGGAAGUCGGGUUAGAAGAUGCCACAUGGUGGACUGGUUGGCAGGAUCAAGGACAUGCAAUUGUGCUCCAUUAAUGCGCCUUGGAAAUAGAGUAUUCAGAUUCUUAGGUUUAUAUUCACUUCUUCAAGGUCGGAGCUUGACCAGAGAAUUCAGGCUGAAAACCUCAGAAGCAAGGAGGCAAUGUUUAGGCCCAAAAUAUUGGUUUGGGUCGAGUGUAGAAUCAUUCUCGGCCCGGAAUGAUUUAUUUAAAAACUGCUAGGGGUCGUCUUGUUCAUGGGCCGCAUGGUUAGGGUCAUUUGAAUCCUAGUAGAAAAAGGAACGGCCUGGAUAAGGAAGAGGCGAAGGAAGUUCUGCAGUUAACAGAAAUCCUAGUAUGAUAAGCAGUCCCGGUGAGAUGAGGAGGUCGAGACACAUUUUGAAUACGGCCUGAUAGAAAGGUUAGGUCCAAAAUCCUGAUGGGAGUAGGAGUACUCGAGAUGGUGUUUGAUUAGAAGAAGAAGUCCUAAUCCGAGUAGGGUUUAACUACUCGGAUUAACUCUACUUAAGAAGUAUGCUAUAAAUAGAUGAGGCUGUGCAUUGUUCAAGCCCCCUCCAAUUCAACACACAACUGACCUGCGCAAACUCUCUCAAACAACUGACCUUCGCUGACACAUCUUCCAUUGGCAUCAACAGCACUGUGAAAGCAACCGGUGAUAUCUUCAGUCGGUAUAGAUAGCUUUGUCGCCGUAGAAUCAACCGAUCUCGCAGCAUCUUUUGUUGGCAUUAACAUUACUGCGGCGAGGACGGUUGGUUACCUAUCCAAGUAUCGGUCGAGAAGGAUUUCCGAAUCCUUAUUGAUUGAGGUCAUCUCAUUAGCCUUCUCGGUGAAGUGAGGUGUUACAGCUUACUGAGCUCGGCGCAUUGCACGCCGAGUUAUUUUAUG
rnacentral:lncRNA from 1 species